GGGCUGAGCUGGGAAAACACUGUAAUAUGCGCAGCUUGUGUUUGCAUGCAGCAUGCUACAGUCUUUUGUCUGCUUUUCUGUGCUAUGUCGCCCCAUUUGCCAUGGCUGAUGCCCCACACAGUCCUCCUUCUUACUGCUGUCCAGCCUUUUAACAUGGUAUACAUCACAGGAAAUGGCUCCAAAACCAGGAUGUACAAACUAUUUUAUCAAAGCUAUUUUGGAAUGGAGGUGUGAUUACUAUGGUGACUGCAGGCAGAGGCCAGGGGGAAAUGGUUCAUUCGGCCCAUUUUAAUGAGCUUUAUAUAUGAAUAAAUGAAUGAAUUAAUUAAUAUAUGAUAUAGGUGGAAAGAGGGACUCACUCUCAGCUGAAAGUCUGUGAUAGUAUCCUGAUAUCCACAACAGGGUCCACAACAGUACCAUUUCCAUGGCUGAUGCCCUAUGCAGCACUUCUUACUGGUAUCUAACCUCUAUACAAGGUAUACUUUACAGGAAAUGGCUCCAAAACCAGGACGUACAAACUAUUUUAUCAAAGCUAUUUUGGAAUAGAGGUGUGAUUACUAUGGUAACUGCAGGCAGAGGCCAGGGAGAAAUGCUUCAUUCGGCCCAGAAAACACUGCAUGUGCUGCCGGUGUCACAGUCACUAACUGUGUUUUAUUUUGGGUUCUUAUAAUAAUUAAUGAUGCAGUUCCUUUCACAGCUGCUUUAUUAUUAAAAAUAAAAAGUAUUCUUCUUAACAACAGAUAAAAGCACACUGAAGAGCACACCGCCAUAUCCAUACAAUGCUACCCUGUACAUAAAUAUGUUGCUUAUUUCUUGAACAAUAUCACUCCCUGCUGUUCAUACAUUGAAUAGUCAACAAACUGGAGUAAAAAUUUUUUAAACAAAGAAAAAAAA